AAUAUCGUUUUCUAUAUUUUGUGGUAAAAUUACCCUGAACUGAAUAGUUAUUUACUUUCUUCAUUAUUAAAAUGAACCUUUUUUUUUUGUAAUUCUUCUUGCUUUUACAAGUUCAAAAUAAGAAAAUGGAAUUUCAAUUGAAAGUUUCAUUCAUGGAAUCGUCGCAAGUUCGGUCUGGCUUUUGGGUAAAAUGGACUUAUCGCUCUGGUUCUGCCGAUCCGAAGACCCUGUGGUUCUUGAUGGAUGGGAAAGCAUGCAAAGGAGAAAAGGGGGUUUGAAAUGUAAAGCUAGGUCUGGACAUUACUGUUGAAAGAGAUAUGCAGUGCUCAUAUACCUAGACGUUAGCAUAAUUAAGACUCACUUUACAUUACCAGAUCGAAAGCCUUGGGUAACUUUUGAAAUGCAAUAAUGGUAAACUGAAUCCAAUACCAGAAGUUCCACAAGAAACUUGAGACAAGUACUAACGGAAGAUUCUUUCGGGUAGCUUUAGAAAAGCGGACACAUUCUGCCAAGGGAGACACUAAACUGGCUUACAAGUCCGUAACAGAUAUUCAGUGAGCAGAAGGACUUCCUAUUCAUCACAAAAAGCAAACGAACAUUAGUCGAUUUUGUAGUAUCAGUUUGUUAAACGAUUCCUGUUUGUUUAUCCGUAGUAUAAGUUACUCAUGCAUGAAUUCGCUUAUGCUUUUUUAGAGAUGUAUUUAUUUCGUUAUUAUUCCAAAAGGUUCGAAUUUGGCAAAUAAACAGUCUGUGUAAUUAA